rnacentral:rRNA from 1 species
GAUGAACGCUAGCUACAGGCUUAACACAUGCAAGUCGAGGGGUAACGAGAGGAAAGCUUGCUUUCCUUGUCGACGACCGGCGCACGGGUGAGUAACGCGUAUCCAACCUGCCCCCAACUAGGGAAUAACCUUGCGAAAGUAAGACUAAUACCCUAUAAUUUCCUCAGAUGUCAUCUGACGAGGAAUAAAGAUUUAUCGGUUGUGGAUGGGGAUGCGUCUGAUUAGCUUGUUGGCGGGGUAACGGCCCACCAAGGCAACGAUCAGUAGGGGUUCUGAGAGGAAGGUCCCCCACAUUGGAACUGAGACACGGUCCAAACUCGUACGGGAGGCAGCAGUGAGGAAUAUUGGUCAAUGGGCGAAAGCCUGAACCAGCCAAGUAGCGUGCAGGAUGACGGCCCUAUGGGUUGUAAACUGCUUUUAUACAGGAAUAAAGUUAGCCACGUGUGGUUAUUUGUAGGUACUGUAUGAAUAAGGACCGGCUAAUUCCGUGCCAGCCGCCGCCGCAG